GGUAGAUUGAGGGCGGCCGGGGGGCGAGGAGCCGCGGGGAGAGGGUCGCGGCGUCCCCGGGACAAUGCGGCGGCGGCCGACCUAGUUAAAGAGGAAAAAGCAAGUUGCUCCAGAAAAACCUGUAAAGAAGCAAAAGACAGGUGAAACUUCGAGAGCUCUGUCAUCUUCUAAACAGAGCAGCAGCAGCAGAGAUGAUAACAUGUUUCAGAUUGGGAAAAUGAGGUACGUUAGUGUUCGCGAUUUUAAAGGCAAAGUGCUAAUUGAUAUUAGAGAAUAUUGGAUGGAUCCUGAAGGUGAAAUGAAACCAGGAAGAAAAGGUAUUUCUUUAAAUCCAGAACAAUGGAGCCAGCUGAAGGAACAGAUUUCUGACAUUGAUGAUGCAGUAAGAAAACUGUAAAAUUCGAGCCAUAUAAAUAAAACCUGUACUGUUCUAGUUGUUUUAAUCUGUCUUUUUACAUUGGCUUUUGUUUUCUAAAUGUUCUCCAAGCUAUUGUAUGUUUGGAUUGCAGAAGAAUUUGUAAGAUGAAUACUUUUUUUUAAUGUGCAUUAUUAAAAAUAUUGAGUGAAGCU
rnacentral:sRNA from 1 species